rnacentral:rRNA from 1 species
UGAGCAACCUGCCCUUAGCUCUGGGAUAACCCCGGGAAACCGGGGCUAAUACCGGAUACGAGUCCGAGCGGCAUCACGCGGACUGGAAAGUUUUUCGGCUAAGGAUGGGCUCGCGGCCUAUCAGCUUGUUGGUGGGGUAAUGGCUUACCAAGGCGACGACGGGUAGCCGGCCUGAGAGGGUGACCGGCCACACUGGGACUGAGACACGGCCCAGACUCCGUACGGGAGGCA